rnacentral:rRNA from 1 species
CCCGACUCCUACGGGAGGCAGCAGUGGGGAAUAUUGCACACUGGGGGAAACCCUGCUGCAGCAACGCCGCUUGAAGGAAUACGGUUUUCGGAUUGUCCCCUUCUGUUCUUCUUUAAGAAGAAUGCCGGUAGCUAAUUCUACCGCCACGGCUCCCUCCGUGCCAUCCUCCUCGGUGAUCCUUCUGUGGCAGGCGUUGUCCGGAAUUCCUGGGUGUAAAGGGAGCGCAGGCGGGAAGCCAAGUCAGCUGUGAAAACUACGGGAGUAACUUGUAGACUGCAGUUGAAACUGGUUUUCUUGAGUGAAGUAGAGGUUGGCGGAAUUCCGAGUGUAGCGGUGAAAUUCGUAGAGAGGCGGAGGAACACCGGUGGCGAAGGCGGCCAACUGGGCUUUAACUGACGCUGAGGCUCGAAAGUGUGGGGAGCAAACAGGAUUAGAUACCCGCGUA